rnacentral:rRNA from 2 species
GACCCGAUUAGCAGCUUCCGGGAAACCAAAGUUUUUCGUUUCCGGGGGAAGUAUGGUUGCAAAGCUGAAACUUAAAGGAAUUGACGGAAGGGCACCACCAGGAGUGGAGCCUGCGGCUUAAUUUGACUCAACACGGGAAAACUCACCCGGCCCGGACACCGUAAGGAUUGACAGACUGAGAGCUCUUUCUUAAUUCGGUGGGUGGUGGUGCAUGGCCGUUCUUAGUUGGUGGAGCGAUUUGUCUGGUUAAUUCCGAUAACGAACGAGACUCUGGCCUAUUAAAUAGACGAUAUAUUUAAAAGUAUAUCGCGCUUCUUAGAGGGACAAGCGGCGUCUAGCCGCAUGAAAUAGAGCAAUAACAGGUCUGUGAUGCCCUUAGAUGUCCGGGGCUGCACGCGCGCUACACUGAAAGAAUCAGUGUGCGUUACGCCUAGUUCGGAAGAACCGGGUAACCCAAGUAAAUUCUUUCGUGCUUGGGAUAGGGAAUUGCAAUUAUUUCCCUUAAACGAGGAAUUCCCAGUAAAUGCGGGUCAUAAGCUCGCGUUGAUUACGUC